GGCUCAGAAUGAACGCUGGCGGCGUGCUUAACACAUGCAAGUCGAACGAGAAAGAGGGCUUCGGUCCUUGAGUAGAGUGGCGCACGGGUGAGUAACACGUGGGUAAUCUGCCCUUCAAUUUGGGAUAACAUUGCGAAAGUGAUGCUAAUACCGAAUGACAUCAUGGGAGCUUCGGUUUUCGUGAUCAAAGGUGGCCAAUCCUUGGAAGCUACUGUUGAGGGAUGAGCCCGCGUACCAUUAGCUAGUUGGUAGGGUAACGGCCUACCAAGGCGACGAUGGUUAGCUGGUCUGAGAGGAUGAUCAGCCACACUGGAACUGACACACGGUCCAGACUCCUACGGGAGGCAGCAGUGAGGAAUUUUGCGCAAUGGGGGCAACCCUGACGCAGCAACGCCGCGUGAGUGAUGAAGGCCUUUGGGUCGUAAAACUCUGUCAGCAGGAAAGAAGUUAUAGAGGGUUAAUACCCCUUUAUAUUGACGGUACCUGCAAAGGAAGCACCGGCUAACUCCGUGCCAGCAGCCGCGGUAACACGGAGGGUGCAAGCGUUAUUCGGAAUUAUUGGGCGUAAAGGGCGCGUAGGCGGCCGAUCAGGUCAGAUGUGAAAGCCCGGGGCUUAACCCCGGAAGUGCAUUUGAAACCGGUUGGCUUGAGUAUGGGAGAGGAGAGCGGAAUUCCUGGUGUAGAGGUGAAAUUCGUAGAUAUCAGGAGGAACACCGGUGGCGAAGGCGGCUCUCUGGACCAAUACUGACGCUGAGGCGCGAAGGCGUGGGUAGCAAACAGGAUUAGAUACCCUGGUAGUCCACGCAGUAAACGUUGUUCACUAGGUGUAGUGGGUAUUGACCCCUACUGUGCCGCAGCUAACGCAUUAAGUGAACCGCCUGGGAAGUACGGUCGCAAGAUUAAAACUCAAAGGAAUUGACGGGGGCCCGCACAAGCGGUGGAGCAUGUGGUUUAAUUCGACGCAACGCGAAGAACCUUACCUGGGUUUGACAUCUCGGGAAUCUUUAUGAAAAUAGAGAGUGCCCUUCGGGGAGCCCGAAGACAGGUGCUGCAUGGCUGUCGUCAGCUCGUGUCGUGAGAUGUUGGGUUAAGUCCCGCAACGAGCGCAACCCUUAUCUUCAGUUACCAGCGAUUCGGUCGGGGACUCUGGAGAUACUGCCCCGGUUAACGGGGAGGAAGGUGGGGAUGACGUCAAGUCCUCAUGGCCUUUAUGCCCAGGGCUACACACGUGCUACAAUGGUAUAUACAAAGGGUCGCAACCUCGCGAGAGUGAGCCAAUCCCAUAAAGUAUACCUCAGUUCGGAUAGGAGUCUGCAACUCGACUCCUUGAAGUUGGAAUCGCUAGUAAUCGCGGAUCAGCAUGCCGCGGUGAAUACGUUCCCGGGCCUUGUACACACCGCCCGUCACACCAUGAGAGUUGAUUGUACCAGAAGUCGUUGGGCUAACCCUUCGGGGAGGCAGGCGCCUAAGGUAUGGUUGAUAAUUAGGGUGAAGUCGUCACAAGGUA
rnacentral:rRNA from 1 species